rnacentral:rRNA from 1 species
UACGUAGGGUGCGAGCGUUGUCCGGAAUUAUUGGGCGUAAAGAGCUCGUAGGCGGCCUGUCGCGUCGGAUGUGAAAGCCCGGGGCUUAACCCCGGGUCUGCAUUCGAUACGGGCAGGCUAGAGUGUGGUAGGGGAGAAUGGAAUUCCUGGUGUAGCGGUGAAAUGCGCAGAUAUCAGGAGGAACACCGGUGGCGAAGGCGGGUCUCUGGGCCGGUACUGACGCUGAGGAGCGAAAGCGUGGGUAGCAAACAGG